rnacentral:rRNA from 1 species
CCUACGGGAGGCAGCAGUGGGGAAUAUUGCUCAAUGGGGGAAACCCUGAAGCAGCAACGCCGCGUGAGUGAUGACGGUCUUCGGGUUGUUAAGCCCUGUUUUCAGGGACGAUAAUGACGGUACGUGAGGAGGAAGCCACGUCAAUCUACGUGCCAGCAGCCGCGGUAAUACGUAGGGGGCGGGCGUUAUACGGAUUUACUGGGCGUAAAGGGGGCGUAGGGGGGCUUUUAGGUGAGAUGGGAAAUACUCGGGGUCAACGUGAGUGCUGCCUUUGAAACUGGAAGUCUAGAGUGGGGGAGAGGGAUGUGGAAUGCGUGGUGUAGCGGUGAAAUGCGUAGAGAUUAGGAAGAACACCGAUGGCGAAGGC